rnacentral:lncRNA from 1 species
ACAAUCAUAUACACAUACAUCAAAACAAGGAUUAUCAAUCAAGAUAAUCAAGAACAUAUAACAUACAACAACAAACAAACAAAGGUAAGCUCCCUAUACCUUGGCCACUACUAGGGCUCUAUCUAACUUCAAAGACACCCCAAAUCCCCCAUUGCACUAAGGUUUUUUGUAACUCUUCCUCUUUCCUCCUAGAAAAUGUCUCUUCUCUCCUUU